rnacentral:rRNA from 1 species
UACGGAGGGUGCAAGCGUUGUUCGGAUUUAUUGGGCGUAAAGCGCGUGUAGGCGGUCUUCUAAGUCUGAUGUGAAAGCCCUGGGCUCAACCCAGGAAGUGCAUUGGAUACUGGAAGACUUGAAUACGGGAGAGGGUAGUGGAAUUCCUAGUGUAGGAGUGAAAUCCGUAGAUAUUAGGAGGAACACCGGUGGCGAAGGCGGCUACCUGGACCGAUAUUGACGCUGAGACGCGAAAGCGUGGGUAGCAAACAGG